AACUGAAGAGUUUGAUCAUGGCUCAGAUUGAACGCUGGCGGCAGGCUUAACACAUGCAAGUCGAACGAUGACUAUCUAGCUUGCUAGAUAUGAUUAGUGGCGAACGGGUGAGUAAUGCUUAGGAAUCUGCCUAUUAGUGGGGGAUAACCAUCCGAAAGGAUGGCUAAUACCGCAUACGUCUUACGAGAGAAAGGGGGCUUUUAGCUCUCGCUAAUAGAUGAGCCUAAGUCGGAUUAGCUAGUUGGUGGGGUAAAGGCCUACCAAGGCGACGAUCUGUAGCUGGUCUGAGAGGAUGAUCAGCCACACUGGGACUGAGACACGGCCCAGACUCCUACGGGAGGCAGCAGUGGGGAAUAUUGGACAAUGGGCGAAAGCCUGAUCCAGCCAUGCCGCGUGUGUGAAGAAGGCCUUUUGGUUGUAAAGCACUUUAAGUGGGGAGGAAAAGCUUGUGGUUAAUACCCACAAGCCCUGACGUUACCUACAGAAUAAGCACCGGCUAACUCUGUGCCAGCAGCCGCGGUAAUACAGAGGGUGCAAGCGUUAAUCGGAAUUACUGGGCGUAAAGCGAGCGUAGGUGGUCAUUUAAGUCAGAUGUGAAAGCCCCGGGCUUAACCUGGGAACUGCAUCUGAUACUGGGUGACUAGAGUAGGUGAGAGGGAAGUAGAAUUCCAGGUGUAGCGGUGAAAUGCGUAGAGAUCUGGAGGAAUACCGAUGGCGAAGGCAGCUUCCUGGCAUCAUACUGACACUGAGGUUCGAAAGCGUGGGUAGCAAACAGGAUUAGAUACCCUGGUAGUCCACGCCGUAAACGAUGUCUACCAGUCGUUGGGUCUUUUAAAGACUUAGUGACGCAGUUAACGCAAUAAGUAGACCGCCUGGGGAGUACGGCCGCAAGGUUAAAACUCAAAUGAAUUGACGGGGGCCCGCACAAGCGGUGGAGCAUGUGGUUUAAUUCGAUGCAACGCGAAGAACCUUACCUGGUCUUGACAUAGUAGGAAUCCUGCAGAGAUGCGGGAGUGCCUUCGGGAAUCUACAUACAGGUGCUGCAUGGCUGUCGUCAGCUCGUGUCGUGAGAUGUUGGGUUAAGUCCCGCAACGAGCGCAACCCUUUUCCUUAGUUACCAGCGACUCGGUCGGGAACUCUAAGGAUACUGCCAGUGACAAACUGGAGGAAGGCGGGGACGACGUCAAGUCAUCAUGGCCCUUACGACCAGGGCUACACACGUGCUACAAUGGUUGGUACAAAGGGUUGCUACACAGCGAUGUGAUGCUAAUCUCAAAAAGCCAAUCGUAGUCCGGAUUAGAGUCUGCAACUCGACUCUAUGAAGUCGGAAUCGCUAGUAAUCGCAGAUCAGAAUGCUGCGGUGAAUACGUUCCCGGGCCUUGUACACACCGCCCGUCACACCAUGGGAGUUGAUCUCACCAGAAGUGGGUAGCCUAACGCAAGAGGGCGCUCACCACGGUGGGGUCGAUGACUGGGGUGAAGUCGUAACAAGGUAGCCGUAGGGGAACCUGCGGCUGGAUCACCUCCUUA
rnacentral:rRNA from 1 species